rnacentral:rRNA from 1 species
AAGCGCUUGCAACCAGACUUGCGCGUCGUUGAUCAUCCGGUGUUCUCACCGGUGCGCUCAGCGACGUUCAGGCCAGCAUCAGUUUGGGUGGUUGGAUAAAGGCCCUGGGAAUGUGGCUCUCUUCGGGGAGUGUUAUAGCCCAGGGUGCAAUGCAGCCCACCGAGACUGAGGACCGCGCUCCGGCUAGGAUGCUGGCGUAAUGGUUGCCAGCGA